rnacentral:lncRNA from 10 species
CAAGCUCUCUUGCCUGCCGCUGUGUAGCAUGUGACUUCGCUGUUCUUUGGCCUUCCACCAUGAUUGUGAGACCUCCUCAGCCAUGUGGAACUAGAUGGGAUCUCACCAUAUUGCCCACACUGGUCUCGAACUCCCAGGUUCAAACCAUCCUCCUGACUCAGCCUCCCAAAGUGCUGCGACUAUAGGCGUGAGUCAUGGCACCUGGCCUGGAGCGCCUUUUCUAUGGAAACCAGAAGACCCCUAAAACUCAUCUUUCUUUUUGCCUGAGGGAUUAUCCCAUUGUGAUGACCUUGACUUUGAAGGAAGCAUGGUUAUGUCCCCUGAAGCCCUGGUCCACAUGAAGCUCUUCCUGCUUUUCUUCAGAGGAAGAUGCAGGAGCUGGUUAAUGGAAUGGAUUUUGCAUUCAGACAUCUCUUGGGGCUGCCUGUAGGUGGAUAUGUUCAUGGAAGACGGUGAAAAAGACAAGAAUAGGAUUUGCUGUAUAGAAUCACUAUAGUCACCAUCACACUGAGUAUCAACAACAUCUCUUGUUAUCCUCACAACUGUGCAAAACAGAUAUCCGACAGAGAGAAAGAGAAUGUGAUUGACUCUUAACUAGAGUCACGCACCACUCUGGAUCAAUCAUCUGAGGCCUGGGAGAAGUGUCAUAACACAGGCAAACGAAGAGGAUAAAUAAAGAAUGAGUGUCCCCCAGACCAUCUGGAAACCCCACCUGUGCAUCUUAAAUAAGGAAGGACCAAGCAGAUAUCAGAAAGAGGGAUGUUGGGGGAACAAGAAACUAACCAGCCUGCAGGAGUCGCUGGAGGCCAAAGACAAAUAUUUUCGCCGAGGAGAAUUUGGAAAAUUUCGCAGUAUAUAAAAAAAGAAAAUUAAAAGUCUCCAUCAUACCAUCUAUCAGCAA